rnacentral:rRNA from 1 species
CGGAGGGUGCAAGCGUUAUCCGGAUUCACUGGGUUUAAAGGGUGCGUAGGUGGGUCUGUAAGUCAGUGGUGAAAUCUCCGAGCUUAACUUGGAAACUGCCAUUGAUACUAUAGAUCUUGAAUAUUGUGGAGGUCAGCGGAAUAUGUCAUGUAGCGGUGAAAUGCUUAGAUAUGACAUAGAACACCAAUUGCGAAGGCAGCUGGCUACGCAUAUAUUGACACUGAGGCACGAAAGCGUGGGGAUCAAACAGGAUUAGAUACCCUGGUAGUCCACGCCCUAAACUAUGGAUACUCGACAUUUGCGAUACACUGCAAGUGUCUGAGCGAAAGCAUUAAGUAUCCCACCUGGGAAGUACGAUCGCAAGAUUG